UUAUAGGUCUGCUUGUAGAUAAAGGGGUUUUACGGCCGGCACGCGCCGGGACGCCGCGAGCGAGGUGUAUUACUGCGCUACGGGUCCAGGCGCGCCCGCCACUUCUUUUCAGGGCCCGCGGCGGCCGCGGGGCCCCAACACCGAGCAGGGCUCGAGGGUUGAAAUGACGCUCGAACAGGCAUGCCCGCCGGAAUGCCGGCGGGCGCAAUGUGCGUUCAAAGAUUCGAUGAUUCGCUGAGUUCUGCAAUUCACAUUACUUAUCGCAUUUCGCUGCGUUCUUCAUCGAUGCCAGAACCAAGAGAUCCGUUGUUGAAAGUUUUGACUCAUUUAGUGUCUUCUCAGAGGGGCCUAAAUCGCAAGAGUUGUGCUGCGCUGCCGCCGGCGGGCGCCCUUGCGGGCUGCGGCCCCUCCCCGGGGCCGCCCGCCGAAGCAACGAACAGUUGAAGAAACGUUCACGGGUGUAUUAAGGAGAAUGGAACUCGUUAAUGAUCCCUCCGCAGGUUCACCUACGGAA
rnacentral:rRNA from 1 species